CUAGUAAUGGCAGGUCAGCAUACUGCCGUGAAUACGUUCCCGGGCCCUGUACACACCGCCCGUCACACCAUGAGAGUUGGGAAUACCCGAAGCCUGUGAGCUAACUAUAUGAGGCAGCAGUCGAAGGUAGAAUCAAUGAUUGGGGUGAAGUCGUAACAAGGUAAC
rnacentral:rRNA from 1 species